CUCACUUGCAUUUAUUCUCAACUCUCUUUUCUUUCUUGGGUUCUUCUCUUCAUCUCCACCAUUGAUAACACUCAUUAAUACCAAAUAUUUUAAGCAAAUCUUAGAGUCAGUAUCAAUGGCAUGCUUGGAACUCUCAAAAGAGGUGAAGUUGAAAGGGGAAGAAAUGGAUUGCACUAAGGAUGGAACUAUUGAUCUUAAUGGAAAGCCAGCAAUCAGAGAAACAAGUGGGAAAUGGGUGGCUGGAAUUAUGAUUCUACGUAAGCUUUUAUUCCUGAAAUUAAUCAUAUUAGAAAAUUCUUAAUAUUUAUCUUUGAAAAAAGAAAACGACAUAAAGUACUAUUAGUAAUAUCUGCAUCUGCUUAAUUUCUUUUAUUAGUUCAAUCAUGGUAUAUACUAGAGCUACUCAAGUUAUAUUAUUCUAUACGUUCAGCAUGUACAGUCAUGAGAGUAUAGAGUGUAAAUGUGUAAUUCGAAUCUUAUAGUAUCAAUUAAGUAUAUAAACUAGAUCUAUUUAUAUAAUUCAAAUCAAUUCUUAUCACUUGAAGUAACUUUUCCGAUUGAGUUAGACCCAACUCUCUUAACAUUUCUAACAUGUAGUCUUUCCGGUUCAUUUUUAUGUGUUAUUAUUUGAUUGAGUAUGAAGUUUAAAAAUAAAGAAUUUUAAAUUUUGUGAUCUAAAAAUAAAGUUAUAAAUAUUUUUAUUGGCUAUAAAUAAACUAAAAUGAAAAUUUUUAAAUUAAUUUUCUUUUAAAUAUAAAAAAUUAUUAUUCCUUUUUAGACAGAUUAAACAAGGAAAAUUUACUAUUACAUAAAUAACAAGUAAUAUUUACUUCACUGAUUUUAACCGACGUAGAGCUUUUUCUGUUGGUGGGAGAAAAACAAAGAAAAAGAAAGGUUGAUAAGGUGAGGUAAUAAAUAAAGACAGCUAUCAUAUAUGUUGGAAAGGGAAAAUGACAAGAGGUUGAAAAAGCCAAA